CAGGGUCUAGGGUCUUAGGUGACCUUCACGUGACGGAUCAUUAUACAUGAUUUAAAUCAAUGGGUAAUUUAGGUUGUAGCUGGCUCCCAUUAAUUUGGAGCAUGUGCACACCUUGUGUUUUUUUUUAUUCCACAUACACCUGUGAACCUGUGAGGCAGAGACAUGGAUGGGAAAACUUUCAUUUAUUUUAAAUUAAUGAUUGGGACCCCUACCCAACCUCUGUCUACUCAACUCUAAUAUAAACUCAAUUUAUUUUAAAACGAAUGUAAUGGAUGUAACGCAUCUAAUACUAAGUUUCAACAACGGAUCUCUUGGCUCUCGCAUCGAUGAAGAACGCAGCGAAAUGCGAUAAGUAAUGUGAAUUGCAGAAUUCAGUGAAUCAUCGAAUCUUUGAACGCACCUUGCGCUCCUUGGUAUUCCUUGGAGCAUGCCUGUUUGAGUAUCAUGAAAUCUUCAAAGUAAAUCUUUUUGUUAACUCAAUUUGGUUUCACUUUGGUAUUGGAGGUUCUUGCAGCUUCACAUGCUGCUCCUCUUUGUUCAUUAGCUGGAUCUCGGUGUUAUGCUUGGUUCCACUCGGCGUGAUAAAUUAUCUAUCGCUGAGGACACCCGGGUAAAAAAGGUGGCCAAGGGUAAAUGCAAGAUGAACCGCGUUCUAAUAUGUCCAUUGACUUGUACAAUAAAAUUAUUAAUUUUAUGAAUCUGAUCUCAGAUCUAGUGUGAGUCUCUCUCGCGUUAUUUUAAACC
rnacentral:rRNA from 1 species